UACGGAGGGGGCUAGCGUUGUUCGGAAUUACUGGGCGUAAAGCGCGCGUAGGCGGAUCUGCAAGUCGGGGGUGAAAUCCCGAGGCUCAACCUCGGAACUGCCUUCGAUACUGCGGUCUCGAGUCCGGGAGAGGUGAGUGGAAAUUCCUAGUGUAGAGGUGAAAUUCGUAGAUAUUAGGAAGAACACCAGUGGCGAAGGCGACUUA
rnacentral:rRNA from 1 species